UGGUGAAUUCUUAAUUCUGCAAGUAGGUCAUCUCCUUCGGGAGCAGUGGAGACUUGACAAGUCCAAAUAAUAACUCUCCUCUCUCCUCUCUUUGAUGCUGGAUGUCACAAAGUUGUUCCCUGCCAUCCCCUUCUCAUCUCCUCUCCUCAGUUCCUGCCAGACCCAGCUGAGCACACGAGCUGGUGCAGGAGAAGACGUUUCCAGGUCCCAGCAGUGUCUGUGCCAGGGUCUGUCCCCGGCUGCCAGGGUGGCAGGGGACAGCUGGAGGGUGGCCCUGGUGUGGCACCCACAGCUCCUCCCUGAGCUGCAUUCCAGGGCACAAAGCCCGGACUUGCCAAGCCCUGCCUGCCAAAGCCUCAAUCCCAGGGCAUGUCCAGGUGUGGGAAGGGGCUCAGCAGGAUGGAGGCCACGUCCAGCUGCUGGACACAGAGCCCUGCAGUGACCACAGCAGUGACCAGAGCUGGACACAGAGCCCUGCAGUGACCACAGCAGUGACCAGAGCCAGCACAGUGCCAGGACAGCCCCUCACCUCCUGUCACCCCUGUGCUUUCAGGCUCUGGCACUGAGGUUUCAGCUUCCACGAGGAGCCUGGCACAGACCUUGCCCUGAUUAUGGAGCCACCCCAGUGAUGUUUUAAAUUAUGGAUUAACUGUUACACAGUCAUGCACGAGGCAAUGUCCAAGGUUCUUCAGCAGCAGAGGGAGAUGCUGGUGCAGAUAAAGGCUCUUCAAGGCAGCAGGGAGCUCCAUCCUGAGCAGGGUCUGUGGAGGAAAGUGAGCUGCAGCAUUUAGAGCAGCCAUUCUCUGGGCUGGUAAAACAUCUCACUUUGUGCUGAGGCCACAGAAACUGGAACACCCAUCGUGGCUGCUCUCGGGCUGACCACUCCAGCUGCCCUCUCUGGUUCAGGAGGACAGGGAAAGGAGAAUUUUAAUCCUGAGGGUCUCUGUCC